rnacentral:lncRNA from 1 species
GGCCUAGUCCUAUUGUUUGGGUGGAUUGUCCUCCUGUGGUUUAGUCGAUCAACUUAUUAUCGACAAUGUAGAUUCUAUUAUUACUUACUAAUUCCAGCAGUUUCAAGUAAAAAAAAAGAUAAAUUAAAAGUUUUUGUGUAAACCUUAAGUUUCAACUCUUUCAAAACCAUUCGAACAACCACAAUUCGGGCUUGUUAGUCUUUUGUAAAUUAUAAUGUAUACACAAGGCGUAUGGGGAGGAGGAGCCUAACUAGACCAAUAUACCCUCACCUUUAUUGGGUGAGAUUGAGUUUGAGAAUGAGUUUUGAGUAGGAAAAGAAGAUAUCAUUGUUUGGUAUAUUGAGUUUGAUAUUUAGGGUGCAUUUACGAUUAUACACAUUGGCUUCUGCCGACGAACUAAUUUAGAUCCCUGUUCCCAAUCCCAAUUAAACCUCAUCCUCAAGCACCUGGUAUACCACGGUGCCAGGUAAUGUUGCCUUCUCUUCUUUUCUAACUCUGGAAGAACAGUGAAGAGAAUGAAAACAAAUACACGAGCCAAAUUAGGUGAAGAACUGAAACUAUGUGUAACAAAUUAGGAGGGAGGAAUACUUAUAGCCGAGUUACUCUAAACCCUCUAGUCAAUCUAUUACAUCGAAGUAGGUAAAAGAGAUUAGAAUGGAAGGAAUUCGUAGUUUUCGUUGAGAUAGAAAAAACGGUGAAGGCAGAGAAGAAGCAAUACUGGUGGAGCAAUUAUUAAUCGCUGCUUCAUAUGGAUGGAGAAUGAGAAGAAUCUACCUUUGUCGAUCCAUUUUAAUAGAAGAGAGAGAGAGAGGAGCCACAAAUCUUCACCGCUGGUCGGAGUCCUAGCAUUCUCCCUGAUUGUUUCUUAUCUGUAAAAGAGAAGAGAGAGAGAGUAUUCAGCUAGUGGGUGUAAUAA